AACUCAGACGGGCCACCCACUUCUCUCAAGGCAUCAAGAUGCCCUUGUCUGAAGUUGCCCUCCAGACGAGAGAAUCCCUAAAAAGGCCCUAUUUUCCUCUGCCACUCUCAAUCCCCGCAGUGUACCUAAUCGAGAUCCACCUCAGUCAUUGCAUGGCCUUGCAAAAUCUUGAAACGUUCAGCUAUUCCAAAAUGGGGCAUUAGAAGCCAAACAUGAGUCAGCAGCUCUCUGCCUUGCCUCACCUCCUUGCCAUGGUGAUUCCAUUAAGCCAUUUUUUGAGCACUCACAGAACUUGAUUAAGUGUGGGAACUGUAUUUUGGCCUUUAUUCUCCCCUGCUGCAGGCUAAACUUCAUGGCUCUGAGACCAAAGAAUUUUGUUGUGUAUGAAAAAAGAUGGAGUGGGGAUUAAUAAAAAAGACAGUGAUAAAGCUUUGAGUUUGGGAUCAACUAAUAAAUCUGAGACAACCUCAGAAUCCAUAGAGCAUUUUUCAAACCUCGUGGAUUUCUGUUGCUUGAUGAUUUCUUCUAAACUGGCUCGUGUAUGCUAUAAGCAUAAGCCCUACUGCUAUGUCAUUAAUUCUGUAAAUGAACUACUAUAGAUCAUGAAACAAAUCCUGACCCUCUUCUUAAUUGCUUUUCUAGGUAGCAACUUUAGUGAAUUGUUUGUUUGUUUGUUUUGGCCAUACCAUACAUUUGUUCACUGGUAUGCUACAAAUCUUUAAAAACACGUCUCUAUCAGUAUUGCUUCCAGAUUCCACAUGUGACUGGGAUUAAGGGAAAUGUCAAGGAAGCUAUCCCUUUCUCUCCAGCUACAAGAUAAAUUUUACAGUUCCAGUUAUUUUCUCUAGGUACAACCUAUAAUUUUCAGUUCCAAACCCGAAGAUUUGAGUCUUGUAGAAGCCUCUUUCUCCUCAGCAUUUUAGGAAAAAGAGGAGGCAGAAUGGAGGAUCCAUGGCCAAGGUCAUUCUCUCAUGGGUGGCACAGAAGCUCUCUGUUCUGGUCAUUCAAGAAUCAGGCCUUUUGAAUGGACUUGAAGAAAAGGUCAAUUCCAUCUACUUGGAACUGGAUUCUUUAUUGAGAGAACCGUCAGAAUUAGAGGAGUUCAGGGGCAUUGCCUAUGAUAUAGAGGAUGUAAUUGAUGACCCGACACUGAAAUCAUCAGCAACAAGAAGGAGAAGUAGAGUUCACAAGAAGCUGGAGCAGAUCAAGGCUAAGAUCUAUGAUGUAAGUAGAGGGCCAGCUUCUUACGCUUUCAUACCAGCUCAACCAGUAGAGGAACAGAACAUAGCCAUCACAGUGGUUUCCCCAGUUAUAGAUAAACUUACAGCUCUUUUAGCUCAGUUGUCUUUCGUCCUCAAGUGAGAAGGAAGGCCAGAAGGUUACAGGAUGAAUUUAAGUUAAUGAAGAAUCAGAAAAUUUAGAUGAAAGUGGAAUGAUAUGGAUGGAGGAACUCUGCAACAUUUCUAUUUAUGCAGCAUAUGUAAUUGGGUUCUACACCAACAGAAGGAAACAGUUUAAAUGGAAGGGAACUAUAAGGACAGUCAUCACAGCCUUUGACAAAUUGUGGUCUCAGCUUCGUCUAGGCAUGGAGUUGGAUGCAAUCAAUGCUAGGAUCCAGGACAUUUCUGAGAGCUUGUGGACAAAUUCAUAAGAAAAAUCCAUACUAAUUGAAUACACAUCAGUAACUUGGAAGAAAGCCUAAGAGGUGCAUAUAUAUUGUACAUAUGCCAAUUAUUUCCUUUAUUUUCUUCCUUAAGUAUAACUACUUUUAUGCAAA